CCUACGGGUGGCAGCAGUGGGGAAUAUUGCGCAAUGGGCGAAAGCCUGACGCAGCGACGUCGCGUGAGGGAUGAAGGUCUUCGGAUCGUAAACCUCUGUUAGCAGGGAAGAACGGUCACUGUGCUAAUCAGCAGUGAAUUGACGGUACCUGCAAAGGUAGCACCGGCUAAAUCCGUGCCAGCAGCAGCGGUAAUACGGAGGGUGCGAGCGUUAAUCGGAAUUACUGGGCGUAAAGGGAUCGUAGGCGGUAUGUCAAGUCAAGGGUGAAAUCCCCGCGCUCAACGUGGGAACUGCCUUUGAAACUGGCAAACUGGAGUGUGUGAGAGGAUAGUGGAAUUCCAGGUGUAGGAGUGAAAUGCGUAGAUAUCUGGAGGAACAUCAGUGGCGAAGGCGACUAUCUGGCACAUAACUGACGCUGAGGAGCGAAAGCGUGGGUAGCAAACAGGAUUAGAUACCCUUGUAGUC
rnacentral:rRNA from 1 species